UGAAUACGAGAUGCUACGGCGUCGAAGCAGUCUAUGUCAUACUUCCAAGAAAAGCUCGCACUGUCAUAAACAAAUAAUGCCUGUACCAUAACCGACACAGGUGGGUAGGUAGAGUAUACUAAGGGGCGCGAGAUAAUUCUCUCUAAGGAACUCGGCAAAAUGACUCCGUAACUUCGGGAGAAGGAGUGCCUUAUUUAUAAGGUUGCAAUAACAAGAUCCAAGCAACUGUUUAUCAAAAACACAGGUCUCCGCUAAGUCGUAAGACGAUGUAGGGGGGCUGACGCCUGCCCAGUGCCAGAAGGUUAAAGAAGUUGGUUAGCAUUCGCGAAGCUGAUAACUGAAGCCCUGGUGAACGGCGGCCGUAACGAUAACGGUCCUAAGGUAGCGAAAUUCCUUGUCGGGUAAGUUCCGACCCGCACGAAAGGCGUAAUGAUUUGGAUACUGUCUCGGAGAGGGGCUCGGUGAAAUAGACUUGUCUGUGAAGAUGCGGACUACCUGCACCAGGACAGAAAGACCCUAUGAAGCUUUACUGUAACUUGAGAUUGAAAUUGGACUUUACUUGCGCAGUAUAGGUGGGAGGCGUUGAUAAUAUUCUUGCGGGAUUAUUUGAGCCAUCAGUGAGAUACCACUCUUGUAAUGUUAGAUUUCUAACUUUGUAUCAUUAUCUGGUCAGAGGACAGUUUCAGGCGGGCAGUUUGACUGGGGCGGUCGCCUCCUAAACGGUAACGGAGGCGCACAAAGGUUUCCUCUGAACGGGUAGAAAUCGUAUCUAGAGUGUAAAGGCAUAAGGAAGCUCGACUGUGAGACCUACAAGUCGAGCAGGGACGAAAGUCGGUCUUAGUGAUCUGACGGUGCUGAGUGGAAAGGCCGUCACUCAACGGAUAAAAGUUACUCUAGGAUAACAGGCUGAUCUCCCCCAAGAGUUCACAUCGACGGGGAGGUUUGGCACCUCGAUGUCGGCUCAUCGCAUCCUGGGGCGGUAGUACGUCCCAAGGGUUGGGCUGUUCGCCCAUGAAAGCGGUACGCGAGCUGGGUUCAGAACGUCGUGAGACAGUUCGGUCCAUAUCCGGUGUAGGCGUUAGAAUAUUGAGAGGAGCCUUCUUUAGUACGAGAGGACCGAGAAGGACAUACCUCUGGUGUACCAGUUAUCGUGCCAACGGUAAACGCUGGGUAGCUAUGUAUGGAGUGGAUAACCGCUGAAAGCAUCUAAGUGGGAAGCCCACCUCAAGAUAAGUAUUCUCUUCAC
rnacentral:rRNA from 1 species